rnacentral:rRNA from 1 species
UACAGAGGUCCCAAGCGUUGUUCGGAUUCACUGGGCGUAAAGGGUGCGUAGGUGGUUGGGUAAGUUUGAUGUGAAAGCUCUGGGCUCAACCCAGAAAUGGCAUUGAAUACUAUUCGACUAGAGGAGUGGAGGGGGGACUGGAAUACUUGGUGUAGCAGUGAAAUGCGUAGAUAUCAAGUGGAACACCAGUGGCGAAAGGCGCUCAUCUGGCCCAAUACUGACGCUGAGGCGCGAAAGCUAGGGGAGCAAACGGG